CCUACGGGAGGCAGCAGUGGGGAAUCUUGCGCAAUGGGCGAAAGCCUGACGCAGCAACGCCGCGUGCGGGAAGAAGGCCUUCGGGUUGUAAACCGCUUUCAGCAGGAACGAAAAUGACGGUACCUGCAGAAGAAGGUGCGGCCAACUAUGUGCCAGCAGCCGCGGUGAUACAUAGGCACCAAGCGUUGUCCGGAUUUAUUGGGCGUAAAGAGCUCGUAGGCGGUUCAGUCAGUCGGGUGUGAAAACUCUGGGCUUAACCCAGAGCCUGCACCCGAUACUGCUGUGACUAGAGUUCGGUAGGGGAGCGGGGAAUUCCUGGUGUAGCGGUGAAAUGCGCAGAUAUCAGGAGGAACACCGAUGGCGAAGGCACCGCUCUGGGCCGAAACUGACGCUGAGGAGCGAAAGCAUGGGUAGCAAACAGGAUUAGAUACCCUGGUAGUCCAUGCCGUAAACGUUGGGCACUAGGUGUGGGUUCCAAUCAACGGAAUCCGCGCCGUCGCUAACGCAUUAAGUGCCCCGCCUGGGGGAGGUACGGUCGCGAGACUAAACUACAAGAAGUAGACGCGNGAGACGUGCCGACGACGACGACGAGGGAGUAGG
rnacentral:rRNA from 1 species